rnacentral:rRNA from 1 species
AAUCAACGCUGGCGGCGUGCCUAACACAUGCAAGUCGAACGCGAAAGCCCCGCAAGGGGUAAGUAGAGUGGCAAACGGGUGAGUAACACGUGGGUGACCUGCCUUCGAGUGGGGGAUAACGUCCCGAAAGGGACGCUAAUACCGCAUGACAUCCUGCCUUUGAAGAGGCGGAGAUCAAAGCCGGGGUCGCAAGACCUGGCGCUCAAAGAGGGGCCCGCGCCUGAUUAGCUAGUUGGUGAGGUAACGGCUCACCAAGGCAACGAUCAGUAUCCGGCCUGAGAGGGCGGACGGACACACUGGGACUGAGACACGGCCCAGACUCCUACGGGAGGCAGCAGUGGGGAAUUGUUCGCAAUGGGCGCAAGCCUGACGACGCAACGCCGCGUGGAGGAUGAAGAUCUUCGGGUCGUAAACUCCUUUCGAUCGAGACGAACGGCCUCCGGGUAAAUAAUCCGGAGGAGUGACGGUACCGAGAGAAGAAGCCCCGGCUAACUCCGUGCCAGCCGCCGCGGUAA